rnacentral:lncRNA from 1 species
CUGAGGGGAGGAGGAGAAAAUACAGUGAGCAAGAGAACAAGAGAUCUACUGAUCCAUCUGGAACCCAGUGUCAGUUCAACCUAGCGGAAACUGAGCCUGGCUCAGGUCGUGCUGCAGCCUCCCAAAUAGCUCAGCUUCAUUCCCUCCGCCAAGUUAUUCUCCUUCCUCAUGAUUAUUCAUUCACGCAAUCAUCCACCUGCAGUUCGACAAGUGUGGAUCUCGAGCUUCUAUUCUGCUUUUUAUUCUGUGCAACUGGUGGGAGUCCCUGAGGAUGAAUGAGAAGGGACCUGCAUCUUCAAGAAGAGCUCAGAAUCUCCUAGGAGUAGAUAGGAUUCCUGCAAAUCAUUACAGUGCAAGACAGAUUGGGCGACUGCAGGAAAUCCUGAGGCGGUGGGUCUCUCCGGCUGAAGACCCCAGGGGAUACCGCUGGGCUGACCUGAGCUGGGGGGCGCUGUUGAGCACUGGGAGGAGGAGCCGCAGAAGUCACAGCUGGGGCUGUUGCUGCCUGUCGCCCAGGCAGCGAGCUGCGCUGCAGGUAAAAAUAGGCUGCCGGGGUGGGGAGCGCUGGAACUGCCACCUCGGAGCGAGCGGUUCUCAGCAAAAGCAAAGCAGCAUAUGGUAAGCUGUUGAUGGGGAUG